CGUGCCUCGUGUGUCUCGCUGCCUGUUCUUAGACGUACGUCUCAUCCCAUGCAACAGCAAAAAGUAUAACAUACAAACACUUCUUUAACGCUGGUGGUGAUUACCUUGUUGCAGCCAAAUGGUGAAAGGUGUGACGAAGACAGAUUGAACCAUUGUAUGGAACAUGCGGUUGCAGUUCAAUCCAGAAGUUGCUGUGCUGUGGUAGCUGAGCUGUUCCAUCUGGGUUCCUGACUUCAAAAAUGUUGUGUUGUCGUUUAUGCCAUAUGAAUUGCUUUUUGUGUUGCUGAGUUAAAAGUUUGAUCUGUUGUCUUUUGAGUUUUCAUUCAAUUAUGCAGUAUACGAUUGAG
rnacentral:lncRNA from 1 species